rnacentral:rRNA from 1 species
GACGAACGCUGGCGGCGUGCUUAACACAUGCAAGUCGAACGGAAAGGCCCUGCUUUUGUGGGGUGCUCGAGUGGCGAACGGGUGAGUAACACGUGAGUAACCUGCCCUUGACUUUGGGAUAACUUCAGGAAACUGGGGCUAAUACCGGAUAGGAGCUCCUGCUGCAUGGUGGGGGUUGGAAAGUUUCGGCGGUUGGGGAUGGACUCGCGGCUUAUCAGCUUGUUGGUGGGGUAGUGGCUUACCAAGGCUUUGACGGGUAGCCGGCCUGAGAGGGUGACCGGCCCCAUUGGGACUGGAAUACGGCCCAGACUCCUACGGGAGGCAGCAGUGGGGAAUAUUGCACAAUGGGCGGAAGCCUGAUGCAGCAACGCCGCGUGCGGGAUGACGGCCUUCGGGUUGUAAACCGCUUUCGCCUGUGACGAAGCGUGAGUGACGGUAAUGGGUAAAGAAGCACCGGCUAACUACGUG